GUCAGUAAUAGUCUUAUUUUGAAUGUAAGAAUCCGAUAUUCGUGCUGAUU
rnacentral:tRNA from 1 species